UGCAGUCCAUGGGCCUCUUUUUAUACCUUGUUUUUUUUCUUUUUCAGACAAGGUUAAUGAGUUGGAGCAGCGAGUUACUAUUCUCCAAAACAGAAGCAACAGUCCUUAAGAAGGAAAGAGACAGCCUUGCAUCUCAUCACUGAAGAUUCUCUACCAUGAGUCUUGUGUUGGACAAACUUGACAUUACUCGUUAGAGCUCUCGAUGAAGUGCUUUACAAUAUGAUACACUGGAAGAUGUACCCAUU